rnacentral:miRNA from 1 species
UGAGGCAGGAGAAUUGCUUGAACCCAGGAGGUGGAGGUUGCAGUGAGCUGAGAUCGUGCCACUGCACUCCAGCCUGGGUGACAGAGCAAGACUCCAUCUCA